CACCAUUGUGAUCCAAAAGUGAAAACCUUCUUUUUUUCCCUUUUUUUUUUCUCUUUUCACAUCUUAAUUUCGAUCUAUUUCUUACCGGUGUAAUCACCAAAGUAAAAUUUCUGGUACAUUCAUAUGAGAAUGUUUAGUACAUCAUGACAGAAUCACUUAUUUUAUUUGUGUAUCAAUUUUGUCUAAACAGAGAGAGAAUUUAGGUUGUCCGUAAUUCAGAUCGGAAUGGACUUCAAGAUCUAUAUCUCUUUUUUUCCAGGGAGAAGAGAUCAUAAAAAUCGCGAUCCGACAAAACAUUCAAUCAACAACCAAAUAGGGAGUUUGCUCCUACGGGAGGUAGCAGUGGGGAAUUUUCCGCAAUGGGCGAAAGCUUGACGGAGCAAUGCCGCAUGAAGGCAGAAGGCCCACGGGUCAUGAACUUAUUUUCUUGGAGAAGAAACAAUGAUGAUAUCUGAGGAAUAAGAAUUGGAUAACUCUAUGCUAGUAGCCGUGGUAAGACAUAGGAUGCAAGCGUUAUCUGGAAUGAUUGGGCAUAAAGCAUCUGUAGGUGGAUUUUCAAGUCUUCCGUCAAAUCCCAGGGCUCAACCCUAGACAGGCGGUGGAAAAUACCAAGAUAGAGUAUGGUAGGGGCAGAGGGAAUUUCCAGUGGAGCGGUGAAAUGCGUUGAGAUCGGAAAGAACACCAACGGUAAAAGCACUCUGCUAGGCCGACACUGACACUGAGAGACGAAAUCUAGGGGAGAAAAUGGGAUUAGAUACCCCAGUAGUCCUAGCUGUAAAUGAUGGAUACUAAGUGAUGUGCGUAUCGACCCAUGCAGUGUUGUAGCUAACGCGUUAAGUAUCCCACUUGGGGAGUACAUUCGCAAGAAUGAAACUCAAAGGAAUUGACGGGGGCCCGCACAAGUGGUGGAGCAUGUGGCUCAAUUCGAUGCAAAGUGAAGAACCUUACCAGGGCUUGACAUGUCGUGAAUCCUCCCGAAAGAGAGUGACUUCGGGAACGCGGACAUAGGUGGUGCAUGGCUGUCGUCAGCUCGUGCCGUAAGGUGUUGGGUUAAGUCCCGCAACGAGCGCAACCCUCAUGUUUAGUUUCCAACAUUGAGUUUGGAACCCUGAACAUACUACCAGUGAUAAGCCAGAGGAAGGUGAGGAUGACGUCAAGUCAUCAUGCCCCUUACGCCCUAGGCGACACACAUGCUACAAUGACCGGGACAAAGGGUCACGACCCCACGAGGGCAAGCUAACCUCAAAAACCAGGCCUUAGUUCAGAUUGCAGGCUGCAACUCGCUUGCAUGAAGACAGAAUCGCUAGUAAUCACCGGUCAGCCAUACGGCGGUGAAUCCAUUCCCGAGCCUUGUACACACCACCCGUCACACUAUGGGAGCU
rfam:Picea glauca, whole genome shotgun sequence.